rnacentral:other from 17 species
UUCUCUCUGCCCUGUUCGUGAGGUUAGUACGCCCCUGCGGAAUAAUCGAAGAACGGGAGCCUUUUUAAACUGUGGUGUGCUGCCCCUUGCGGGAUUUGCCUGAAGCAGUGUAAAGGAGCCCACCUAUUAGGGAACUCGCUGUGAGGCCCCGAACCAACGGCAUGGUGGAGAGAAU